UGCGUAGGCGGGGCAAUUAGUCAGUGGCGAAAUCCUGCGGCUUAACCGUAGAACUGCCAUUGAUACUGUUGCCCUUGAGUAUAGUUGAGGUGGGCGGAAUGUGUAAUGUAGCGGUGAAAUGCAUAGAGAUUACACAGAACACCAAUUGCGAAGGCAGCUCACUAAGCUAUAACUGACGCUGAGGCACGAAAGCGUGGGGAGCGAACAGGAUUAGAUACCCUGGUAGUCC
rnacentral:rRNA from 1 species